GGCUGGUGCGUGGGAUUCGAACCUGAUGCAGCCAGCGUUGCCGGGGAUACGCUACAGGUGACUGGAUUGUCCAGGUGCGACUGAAAGUAACCAUCGGGCAGCAGUGACGUCAGCGGGUAUCCCCAUGGCUUGUCCAGCCGCAGUGACGGCGUUGCAGCUGCUUAGCUCUUCCACCUUUUUCUAACCCAACCCCUCUUUAGGUCAGAGCAGGCAAUACUCCAGCUGACGCUGCUCUUCCAAAUUCAGCAGCCGGUCAACAACCUUGGGCAUUUGCAGCAACAGCAACAGCUCGUCAACAACAUACCUUUGCAAUGGCUUCAGGACUGCUGAUCAGUGACAAUGAAAGCGGUUACGACCCUGAGAUGUUUUGUAUCCCCAAACACUACAUAGAGGAUCUGGAAAGGGUUUUCAUUCCUCAUGGCCUUAUUAUGGACCGGACCGAACGCAUGGCCAGAGAUAUAGCAAAGGAAAUGGGAGGUGAUCACAUUGUUGUCCUCUGUGUGCUGAAGGGUGGUUACAAGUUCUUCGCUGACCUUUUGGACUACAUCAAGGCUCUAAAUAGGAACCAGGAAGAGUCACUCCCAAUGACCAUUGACUUCAUUCGUUUGAAGAGCUACUGUAAUGACCAGACUGUAGAGGAGGUGAAAGUUAUUGGAGGGGAUGACCUGUGCAUGUUGGCUGGAAAGAAUGUUCUAAUAGUUGAGGACAUUAUUGAAACAGGCAGAACAAUGAGGAAACUUCUUGCCCUCCUGGAGACAUACAAGCCCCAAAUGGUCAAAGUCGCAAGCUUGUUGCUGAAAAGGACCCCUAGGAGUUCAGGAUAUAGACCAGAUUUUGUAGGAUUUGAAAUUCCCGAUAAGUUUGUGGUGGGAUAUGCGCUGGAUUACAACGAGUAUUUCCGAGACUUGAAUACAUUCCUUGCACCUGCCGUGUUUCAGCCUGGCCGGUCUCUUCAACUUGCUAUUUCUGAUUAGUCAGCAACAUAACUAUAUCCGUGGAUAGAAACAUCAGGGGGCAUGGGGAGGGUACCUCCUGGAAGGAAAGUCGGCAGCUGACUGAUAGACGCAUAUUUGUGUGAUCAGUGAAAAAGGAAGACAAAAGUACAAAGUAUGAAGACACAAAGGACAUGUUUGCAAUAACGUGAAUAUUUCUGACAAGGAAUAAAUCACUGUAGAUCUCGAAACAUCCCUACCCUCUUGAUCAAUCGAUUUGAUAUCGGCAAUGGGAAUGUGUGCAAAAUGGUUCCAUCUGAAAAUGUACAUAUGUCAGAUUAUUUACUAUUUUUGUAUUGCGUCUGAUGGAAAUGGGUCAAAUUUUUAUAUUUGAAAUGUGCUGUAAAGUUAUGACUUACCCUCGUGGAAUCAUUUGAGAGCAAAAAGAAAUAUUUUUAUAUUCAGAUGUUUUGUUUAUGUGCGCACAAAUGAGCGUGAAGCGGCAUUGUGAUCAAAUCUGCAGCAUGUACUGUGCUCUGUGUUUCACACGAGGCAGUGGUGAGCAGUUGGAGUCAAUGGCCCAAUCUCAAUACUGGGCAGCAGUGCUCAUGAGUAGGCGUUGUCAGAUUGGGCAGAUGAACUCCACUUGCCAAGCCUACCUCAACAAGAUUGAAGUAGUGUAGGUGAGAUUGGGAGUGUACUGACCCAGGGCCAGUCGCUUUAAAUGGCUUGGGUGGUCUGCAAAUCAGCAGUUGAAAACAACCAAAGGCCUGGGGGUUUAAAAACUGGUAGCCUGAAAUGUAUUCCUAGCAAACCCAACUCCUAUCGGGCUUCAAUGGGACAGAGAACCAGACCAGAUAGAAAUUGACUGAGCCAUGACAAAGCUGUUUUCAUCUAUUGAUGCAGGCUAGUUUUGGAGUGUCCUGUCUCUGUUGAGCCCAUCUUGCAAACCAGACAAUCCCAAACUCAUUUACAAGUAAUAAGGCGGCCAUUCUGCUGCCUCCCUCAGGGCCACGUCCCCCUGCAAAGGGGCACAUCCCAACCACACUGCUAUGCAGUGCUGUGGCUUAGUGACAUUUCUAAUAACCACGUCAAAGGGAGCCCUGAGAGUGGAAAGGCAAACAGGAUAUAAGGCUGCACAGCCUUCCAAAUAAAAAGCAGGGGUGGAACUUCAGCAGCUUUCAGCUCUUUUAUCCCAUCACCUGACAGAAAAUAGGAACCCAUCUGUACCAAUUUUCUUCUGCAAAGUGACAGCAAGAAAGUGGGGGGGGGGGUCGAAACCCCCUUCUGAUAGAAUGAGGUGGAAUUCCUGUUUUUGCCGAUCUCCCUUUAGUGGGCUUUUCCCUGCUUCAUGUGGCUUGGUCAUUAUGGCCAUCACCUGCUGAGCAUGUAGAUCUGUAUUGGCAUGCUCUGUGUACUGUGUUUGCUGGACUGGCAUCCCACCAAAGUUUUAACACAAGGGGAUGUGCUGCUUGCAUCUUUGUAUUGUAAACAUUGCAUGUAAGAGCACAAGCUAGAGAUCCCAGAACUCACUGCAUGGUGUGGAAUAUACUUCAGUGCAUUUGCCAUUUCAAUGUCAGCCUACACUACUUUGCUAUUGAUUUAUCUUUGUUUUAUUUAUAUUUGUGAAUGUAGGAUAUGGAUGUAUUAGCAAUAAACCAGACUUGGCAAGAUA